AAGUCACAAUGGGUUCCCAUUCACAGCUACAGAACAAACGUGAGACAUGGAAAAUGCUGUGAGUGGGAUCCCACUGCCCUCUGGUCUGGUGCACGUUGUGGUUACUGAUGUUGUGACAGAAAGUUAAGGUUGAGGAAAGAGCCUUUUUCUUCUCCAUCUCCAUGAGAAAGGAAGGGCAUUUCUGUUGGAUUGCCCAGGAUAAAGAACAGCAGAAACAGGCGAAUGUUUUCAUUAUUUGGGAAAUCCUUCUGGCAGACGUGCUCAGUGCAGUGGACUCAAACAA